rnacentral:rRNA from 1 species
CCUACGGGAGGCAGCAGUAGGGAAUUUUCCACAAUGGGCGAAAGCCUGAUGGAGCAACGCCGCGUGGGUGAAGAAGGUCUUCGGAUCGUAAAACCCUGUUGUUAGAGAAGAAGGUGCGUGAGAGUAACUGUUCACGUUUCGACGGUAUCUAACCAGAAAGCCACGGCUAACUACGUGCCAGCAGCCGCGGUAAUACGUAGGUGGCAAGCGUUAUCCGGAUUUAUUGGGCGUAAAGGGAACGAAGGCGGUCUUGUAAGUCUGAUGUGAAAGCCUUCGGCUUAACCGGAGUAGUGCAUUGGAAACUAGGAGACUGGAGUGCAGAAGAGGAGAGUGGAACUCCAUGUGUAGCGGUGAAAUGCGUAGAUAUAUGGAAGAACACCAGUGGCGAAGGCGGCUCUCUGGUCUGUAACUGACGCUGAGGUUCGAAAGCGUGGGUAGCAAACAGGAUUAGAUACCCCAGUAGUC